rnacentral:rRNA from 1 species
UACAGAGGGUGCGAGCGUUGUCCGGAAUCACUGGGCGUAAAGGGCGCGUAGGCGGCCUGAUAAGUAGGGGGUGAAAUCCUGUGGCUUAACUGCAGGGCUGCCUCCUAGACUGUUAGGCUCGAGCACGGUAGAGGCAGAUGGAAUUCCCGGUGUAGCGGUGGAAUGCGUAGAGAUCGGGAAGAACAUCGGUGGCGAAGGCGGUCUGCUGGGCCGUUGCUGACGCUGAGGCGCGACAGCGUGGGGAGCAAACGAGGG